UUUUCAUUUCUGGAAGAGAGCUACAAUUCUAAACGGUCUUUUCUUUCGUAGAACUGCGGAUUCAUCAUUUUUUGUUACCAUUUUGAAACCUGCUACUGUUUAUCCACAUCAUCUAAAGGUAUUAUACACUACUUUUGUUGGUGUUCAAGACUCAAAGCACUCCAAAUUUCCCCCCAAAUUUAAAAGAUAUCCAUAUUUUUGUAAAUUUUCUCUGAUGUCAAGUGAUUAUCUCUGCUUUGUUUACAGGCCUCGAUGGACACUCACAGUAUUUUUGGGGCAACAGUGAGAAAAUGGGAACAGAUCUAUAAUAUUGUAGCAUUUUCAAUUUUUUGACAAAUAAAUGUUGGCUUGUUGAAUAGGAAUCAAGAUUUCACCAUAUCUAGGUUAAUCCUGAUUGGAAAACAGAUCACUGUCGACUGCAGCACUGCAGCAGCUAUCCCAAAUCUGGACAACUACUUUUGUGGACCCAGGUUGGGAACACUUCCCCUUUAGUGAGAUCUACUUGCUAAAGCACGAUUAUUCCUCUUUAGCAAGAAAGCAAACAUUACCAUAAACAGGUGUUUUGGUGUCUUUAUUGAAAAUAAUGGCAAAUUCCAUGCGAUGCUGAAUAAGUGCAACACACACUCAAAAUGACGCGAAUUGUCCAAAUAAAAUUGACAACACAGACAAGAAAUUUCAUAUCAAAGUUGCUGCAUAAGAGGGAAGGAGUCUGAAAUCCAAUGCACAUCGUGAGUGUUUUUCUUUUGAUAUAUAUAUUUGCAGAAGUCUCAAACAUUUUAGCACUUUUUCUUCUUUUCAUGUGAAACACCUUCGUGUACUCCAUGGGUGUUUUUCUCGGUUGUUUGAGAAAUAUCAGGGUUCCAAAUUACCGCUCGCCCACUCGCAAUGGUAACUAAAUUUUCGUUCUCGUCGCCCACUUGGCGACCGUAUUUGUCCAAUCAACAUUUUUCUUUCCGACCGAUCUGAGUCCUAUUAUAAUUGAAGUUCAAUUUCCGGUUUAGGUUUUGCCACUUGGCGAGACAUUCAUGAUUCCUGGGGUAUCAAAUCUUCCAAAAUGUAUUUAAACCAGAAGUUGAACAACGCAAGGGUUACUUCAAACGAAAAGAAAGCGUCUGCUUUCAACCAAAGUAGAAAGAAGGGGAGAAUAUGACUCGAUGACGGCAAAAAGGGGAUGACGUGCUGUGUGUACAAAACAUGACACGAAAGGUCCAAUCGUUGUGACAGCUUGCCCAAGUUAUAAACUUGACAGCAUUGUAAAGCUGAGAAAUUUUGAAAUAUAACAUUAAAAAGUCUGAAGAAACAUGUGUUAAAGUCAGACGCCGCGAAGAUCAUAAAGUUGCUAGGUUGUGGAAAUGAGAGAGGUAUUUGAAAGAAUUACAGAGAAGGAAACAGAAUUUAAAUAUUGAUAUUUUAAUUUUUUAAAUAAAUUGCAAUGUGACCUGAUGUUUCUUUUUUCUUGUAAAAAAAAACACCAUGUUAUUCAAUUUCAUGAUAUGUGUGGGCUACUAAAAUUUCAUGUGGGCUAACAGGAUUUCUUAUUUAGGGGCCCACUUGGCCCCUAAGGUAUUCAGUCAAAGUUGGAACCCUGGAAAUAUUCACUCUCACUAGAGAGAGAUAAUCACAUUUUCACAGGAAUAUCUUGCUGUAGGGAAAGUGUUUUCAACCUGUUUUAGGAUAAUAUUUUGGAUGAAAGUCAGAGGCAAAGGUACUGAUCGAGGUUAACACACAGGUAAAUUUGGACAGGACUGAUUAUACAGUGCAAUCUUGUAUGGAAACGGGAUGAUUAACAAAAUAUGAUAACAAUAAGGACUCCGUUUUAAGGCGAGAUUUUAACUCCCAUGUUUUGUAAAUUAUCUAGUGGAAAGGUUACAUGAAGGGUACAGAACUGAACAACAGUUAACAAGUCUAUACUAAAACUUUAGAUACGAUGCUUUCUUCCAAUAUUCAGCUUAUUACUACUUAGUUUCUGCAAAUUCACCACUUAAUCUAAUAAACUAAGGACGACUGCGUUUACCGGUCUUCAUUAUAGUCGUCGAACAUAAAGGAAAUUCGAACUACCACAACAUACCGGGUCAUGCACAAAAGGAUUAGGUGAAUAUCUCCCUAGGAUGUACACACGGUUCUAAUGCUAUUAAUAUAUGAAAGUGCAUACAUUUUCCCUCUGUUGGACACUAUGAUUUUGAUAUAUUUGAUAAGUUUGUGGUUUACGUGACUACUUGAAUAUAUUUACUAUCUUACAGUUUAAUCAAAAUUACCUUUAUUUCCUUUAAAAUGGUCCUCUAAACCACCCCCAAGAUUAAUUCCUUUAGCCGAGACUCGAGCACUCGUGUGCAAUAGUCGCUGUGUAUUUCUUAGCGGACUUCUUACACUCCUCAAGAGAGUCCUACACAAGGACGAGGCCAUUUUUGCAAAGAGAGUGCGACC